rnacentral:rRNA from 1 species
UAAGGAAUAUUGGUCAAUGGACGCAAGUCUGAACCAGCCAUGCCGCGUGGAGGAUGACGGCCCUCUGGGUUGUAAACUCCUUUUAUCUGGGAAGAAAUGCAGGUUUUCUAAUCUGUUUGACGGUACCAGAGGAAUAAGCACCGGCUAACUCCGUGCCAGCAGCCGCGGUAAUACGGAGGGUGCAAGCGUUAUCCGGAUUCACUGGGUUUAAAGGGUGCGUAGGUGGAAUGGUAAGUCAGUGGUGAAAUCUCCAAGCUUAACUUGGAAACUGCCGUUGAUACUAUCAUUCUUGAAUAUCGUGGAGGUGAGCGGAAUAUGUCAUGUAGCGGUGAAAUGCUUAGAUAUGACAUAGAACACCGAUUGCGAAGGCAGCUCACUACACGAUCAUUGACACUGAGGCACGAAAGCGUGGGGAGCAAACAGG